rnacentral:tRNA from 1 species
GGAGAGCACCUGCCUUGCACGCAGGGGGUCAAGAGUUCGAAUCUCUUUAUCUCCACCA